CCUACGGGUGGCUGCAGUGAGGAAUAUUGGUCAAUGGCCGGAAGGCUGAACCAGCCAAGUCGCGUGAGGGAAUAAGGCCCUAUGGGUCGUAAACCUCUUUUGUCAGGGAGCAAAGGCGUCCACGUGUGGACGUGAGGAGAGUACCUGAAGAAAAAGCAUCGGCAAACUCCGUGCCAGCGGCCGCGGUAUUACGGAGGAUGCGAGCGUUAUCCGGUUGUAUUGGGUUUAAAGGGUGGUUAGUCGGAGUGUCAAGUCAGCGGUAAAAUUUCGGGGCUCAACCCCGUCGUGCCGUUGAAACUGGCGGCCUUGAGUGAGUGUGAAGUAAGCGGAAUGCGUGGUGUAGCGGUGAAAUGCAUAGAUAUCACGCAGAACGCCGAUUGCGAAGGCAGCUUACCGGCGCUCAACUGACGCUGAGGCACGAAAGUGCGGGUAUCGAACAGGAUUAGAUACCCCAGUAGUC
rnacentral:rRNA from 1 species